UGCCUGGUCUAUCCCAUCUGUCCCUUUUCUCCUACCAGUUCUCUCUCCUGUGACAUUUUCUUUUUUCUCUGGACAGGCAGCCUCCUUCAUGUGAAUUCAGAGGCAGUGACAACUUGCUGUCCAGGCAGCUCCCUCUCCUGCAGACAGAAUGCUCAGGGUCACUGAACCACUGCUUCUCUUUAGAAAGUAGAGCUAGCUGCCACUUUCAUGUGGCCUCCAGAGUGUCUCCACCUAACCCCUGUGCUCCCCUACCACACUGAUGGCUCAAGACAAGGCUGGCAAAACCCUCCCAGCAACAUCCCUGACUCAGAGAGGCUCUCUCACGAGGCAUGGCCAAGCCAAAUGCUCGUGUUGUGCCAGUGAGCUAGCCGUGGAGCAAAGAGGGUUUGUUUUCAGUUCCCUCUGUCUGAAUCAGAACCAGAGAGCACACCGAAUGCUCCCUGCUUGCUCAGUAAGGCUGCCCCGCCUGAGUCAGUGCUCCCAGCGGACAGUUCAAUGCUUAUAGAAGUAGGAGGAAACCCAGUCCUCCCUGAGAAACACAAGAAACAAGGGCAAGUACCCAAGUGCCUCACUUCGAAAGGAGGCCCUGUUCCCUGGAGUCAGGGUAUGUUGGAAAGCUUUGGCCGAGACUUGGGAUCUGAGAUGCCAUGUACUUUGCUGAAUAGUCUCUGUUCAGCAAACUAACCAGCAUUCCCGAAAACACAGCCUACGGCAGACAAUAGUAUAGAAGAAGUCUGGAAAAAAACAGAACAUCCAUGUUUUGAGAAACCUGGACUAGCCUUGUCCCUGUACCUCAGUCUGGCUUUGCUCUGACGAGAUUGGAAAUGUACAAUACCAGAUGCUCUGCCCACUGUUGAGCCCCGGUGGUGGAAAGGAGGAGGGCCUUUCUUCCCGUGUUGAUUGAAUAGAGGCUACAGGGGUUAGCCUGGGCUAAAGGCAUCCUCAUCUUUUGAGCUGUUCGUCUCAGUAGGAAAGAAUCUAAUGGCAGAUCACUGUAGUUUAGAUCUGCUGACCUGUGUGCCUAUCCCUUGGAAAUGUCUGUUGGGUACUUUUAAUUCCACAGGUCAUCAGAUGCCUGCUUGAUAAUAUAUGAACAAUAAAAAGAGCUUUCACUUCCUUCUAUUGUAAUCGUGUUCCCUGGAUCUGAUCCAUACCACGACCCCACACAAGGCUGGGUGCAGACCGCAGGCAGAGGGCCUCAGUGUGUGUGUGGGUGUGUAGGUGGGGGUGUGUCUGCUGCAUAAGGAACACUAUUUUCAACAUUCAGAAGCUCAUUCAAGUGAUGCAUUAAUGGGAAACUCAGAUCUGAUCAAGAGUCUGAAUUUCUAAGUCCUUCCUUGCUUUGGGUAUGCCGACAACUUAUUUGGGUGCCUUACAUCUUUUCUAAUCAGUGUUGCAUAUGAGCCACCCUCACUCCCUCUGUGGAGUCCUUUUGCACCUGAGAGCCAGGUGCAAACCAGAAGUGGCUGGUGGAAAAGGGGUCUGGCUAGAGAAUUAUCAGUAGAGUGAUUUGCAGGAUUCCCUUCUGGGCUUCAUUUUGGAAACUUUACUUAGGGCUGCAUUUAUUAAGUGCCCACAUUUGAUGGAGGGUGGAAGUAAUUUGAAUGUAUUUGGUUUAUAUAUUUUUUUUAGAUUAAAAGAUGGUUGUAGCAUUUAAAUGGAAAUUUUUCUCCUUGGUUUGCUAGUAUCUCAAGUGUAUUCUCUGUAAGUGUAGCUCAAACGGGUCAGCAUGAAAGGUUAAGAAAGCAAGGCGGCAAAUGUCACGCUGGUGGUUAAGGCCAGGGCCUCUCCUACCACUGUGCCACUGACUUGCUAUGUGACCCUGGGCAAGUCACUUAACUAUAAUGUGCCUCAGUUUUCCUUCUUUUAAAAUGGGAAUAAUAAUACUGACCUACCUCAAAGGGCAGUUUUGAGGCGUGACUAAUGCUUUUUAUAAAGCAUUUUGCGAUCUUUUAGCAGAGGUAUAAUAGCAGUGUCCACCAUGAACUUGAUGUGUCCACGUGUCCUGGAUGCUAUCAUUAGUCUAUGCGGUUCUCUGAGAGAUUGAAUGAAUCCAUUAGAUAAGUGGUAGAUAACUAGCCAGACACAAUUUGAGAACGCAUAAGAUCAUUGCCAUGGAAACAUACACAGGAUACCUUUUCCUUGACUGAGUGGGAUUUUUUCCCUUUUUAUGUGGGAUAGUAGUUAUUUGUGACCUAAGAAUAAUUUUGGAAUAAUUUCUAUUAAUAUCAACUCUGAAGCUAGUUGUACUGAUCUGAGAUUGUAUUUGUUCAUAAUAAAAGUGAAGUGAAUCUGA